CGUUGCCUGUGGUGUUUGUAGUGCACCUCAAAUCCCUUAGAACCUAGUAUAUUUACCCGGGAGUCAGACCAGGCCACUGUUGUGAAAAUCUUAUUGUGAAGCCUUUCGGCUGCAUAAUUGGAGAUCCUGAUGUUGUUUGUAGACCCCCACUUGAACAUUUGGUUCAAGGCACCAGGUGUGAUACGGCAUUUAUGGGUAACGC
rnacentral:other from 1 species